rnacentral:rRNA from 1 species
AGAGUUUGAUUAUGGCUCAGAACGAACGCUGGCGGCAGGCCUAACACAUGCAAGUCGAACGCUGUAGCAAUACAGAGUGGCAGACGGGUGAGUAACACGUGGGAAUAUACCCUUUGGUUCGGAAUAACUCAGGGAAACUUGAGCUAAUACCGGAUAAGCGCGAGAGCGGAAAGAUUUAUCGCCGAAGGAUUAGCCCGCGUCUGAUUAGCUAGUUGGUGAGGUAAUGGCUCACCAAGGCGACGAUCAGUAGCUGGUCUGAGAGGAUGAUCAGCCACAUUGGGACUGAGACACGGCCCAAACUCCUACGGGAGGCAGCAGUGGGGAAUAUUGGACAAUGGGCGCAAGCCUGAUCCAGCCAUGCCGCGUGAGUGAUGACGGCCUUAGGGUUGUAAAGCUCUUUUACCUGGGAAGAUAAUGACGGUACCAGGAGAAUAAGCCCCGGCUAACUUCGUGCCAGCAGCCGCGGUAAUACGAAGGGGGCUAGCGUUGUUCGGAAUCACUGGGCGUAAAGCGCACGUAGGCGGAUCUUUAAGUCAGGGGUGAAAUCCCAGAGCUCAACUCUGGAACUGCCCUUGAUACUGGGGAUCUUGAGUCCGGAAGAGGUAAGUGGAACUGCGAGUGUAGAGGUGAAAUUCGUAGAUAUUCGCAAGAACACCAGUGGCGAAGGCGGCUUACUGGUCCGGUACUGACGCUGAGGUGCGAAAGCGUGGGGAGCAAACAGGAUUAGAUACCCUGGUAGUCCACGCCGUAAACGAUGGAUGCUAGCCGUUAGGCAGCUUGCUGCUUAGUGGCGCAGCUAACGCUUUAAGCAUCCCGCCUGGGGAGUACGGUCGCAAGAUUAAAACUCAAAUGAAUUGACGG